AUUGAACGCUGGCGGCAUGCCUUACACAUGCAAGUCGAACGGUAACAGGUCUUCGGAUGCUGACGAGUGGCGAACGGGUGAGUAAUACAUCGGAACGUGCCCAGUCGUGGGGGAUAACUACUCGAAAGAGUGGCUAAUACCGCAUACGAUCUGAGGAUGAAAGCGGGGGACCUUCGGGCCUCGCGCGAUUGGAGCGGCCGAUGGCAGAUUAGGGAGUUGGUGGGAUAAAAGCUUACCAAGCCGACGAUCUGUAGCUGGUCUGAGAGGACGACCAGCCACACUGGGACUGAGACACGGCCCAGACUCCUACGGGAGGCAGCAGUGGGGAAUUUUGGACAAUGGGCGAAAGCCUGAUCCAGCAAUGCCGCGUGCAGGAUGAAGGCCUUCGGGUUGUAAACUGCUUUUGUACGGAACGAAAAAGCUUCCCCUAAUACGGGAGGCCCAUGACGGUACCGUAAGAAUAAGCACCGGCUAACUACGUGCCAGCCGCCGCAGUAAUAC
rnacentral:rRNA from 1 species